rnacentral:lncRNA from 1 species
CUAAAUUGUUUGAUGGCUGAAGCAAAAAGUAUAACAUGGCCUGAAUGUGGAUCUCAAUGUAUAUAGAUGAAAUAUUUAAUACAAUUAUAUCAUAAGUGGAAAAAACAAGGGACUUACAAGAAGGUUUUUAAAAAGAGGACAAAAAAAAAGAAUAAAAGAGAACUGAAGGGGCAUCAUCACAGGCAACUGGGGAACCCCCUUUUCAAUCUGGAGGCCAUACGUGAGGGGAGAUGGUGCUCAGAGAGCACAGGUUUCCAGCCUGGAACCUUUGGCUCAGGCCCUAGUCUCACCCUCCAGUGACAUCACAAAGCCUCAGAAGCCCCACCGACCAUGCAGAAGUUUUGCUAACGGAACUAUCAUCUGUGUUUGUAUUGGAAGCAGUUGUUUGGCCUUGCUGAGCAAACGUCUAUGCCUUCUCCAUUACAUCCAAAGGAGAAUAGCCCCAUGUGAAGAAUGGAAUCAGUAGAUGUUUGGUCGCUGUACCAUAUCCACUCCUAGGAUACAACAAGAGCAAGCCCAAUUCUCUUGGUGGUGUGGGCAGUCGGCUUGCACCACGUACCUAUCUCAGCUCUUUUUGGAAGCUUAUGUCCUCCCCACAACUUCCAGCUUUCUUAUGGGACAAGGGUACACUCACCACUGCCAUAUCUAAUCCUGCUUGCCUGGUAAAUGUUCUCUUCUUCUUUACACCCCUGAUGACUCUGGUCACUCUACUCAUCCUGGUCUGGAAAGUAACCAAAGACAAAAGCAACAAGAACAGAGAGACACACCCAAGAAAGGAGGCAACAUGGCUGCCAUAAAGAUCUGGAUCUCUUGGUGGGGACUCCACUGAGGUGAAGACCUGAUUGUACAAGAGAGGCACGGCCACUGGAGCUGUCUCAGAGCCCAGAGCCAGGGGAGCCAGAGCUGCUUUAGCCACCCUGUUCCUCCAUUGCCAGAUGUCCCCCCAGGCCUCAUUUCCUUCCUCUGCCACCAUCCCUCUUAUAAUGCACUCCUCCUGCGGUUCUUUGGCUUGUCCCAGCUUCUGAGUUUGAAUGUCUUUUUUUUUUUUUUUUUUUUUGUGGAUCUUCAAGACUGAAAUAGUAAAUGGCUCUUGAUUUCUGCACUAACAGAGGAAAGAAACAAGUACAUGGAAAAGUAAAAAUUGAUUACAAAGCCUAAAUUUUCCUCUAUAAAUUGGGCAUGUGCUGACUGUGGGAUAUUGAAAUUAUUGGGAGCUCACAGCAUCUCAAGUUAUAUAAUGAAGCUAUUCUGGAAGCUCAUUUCCAGAAGAUCCUUAAAAUGAAAUGGCUCACUCUCUGCUGAAUUAUAUUUACUGAGCUCUCACUGUGUACCAGACCCUGUCCUGGAUGCUGGGAUACAAGAAUAGCAGAAAGGUGCCCAUCUUCUCUCUCCUAGAGCCCAUACAGCACAGUGAGAGAGACAGA